UCAAAAGGACAUACACAAAAUCAGAGUGGUAGAGUCAUACCUGGCUGAACUCUCAUGUUGAUGUUUAGUGUCUGGCUUUAUCUAAUCUCACCAUGUUGGUUAGCCUUGCAAGCUCUGAAGCCUCCUCGUGUUAUGUGGUUUCUUUUCUGACUCGGUUCUACCAUACCGCUCUCUUGGUCCGGUGUCACCAAAUUGUGUCCGACUUUACUUUCUCAUGGUUGCAUCAACUUCCGGGGUGCCUUAUCAGAAUAAGUAUGAGGGGUGUCU
rnacentral:lncRNA from 1 species